rnacentral:rRNA from 1 species
UACGUAGGGCGCAAGCGUUGUCCGGAAUUAUUGGGCGUAAAGAGCUCGUAGGCGGUUUGUCGCGUCUGUCGUGAAAGCUUGGGGCUUAACCCCAAGUCUGCGGUGGAUACGGGCAGACUAGAGGCAGGUAGGGGAGAACGGAAUUCCCGGUGUAGCGGUGAAAUGCGCAGAUAUCGGGAGGAACACCAGUGGCGAAGGCGACUACCUGGCCUGUUCUUGACGCUGAGGCGCGAAAGCUAGGGGAGCAAACGGG